AUAGGUCCACCUUGCAAGGUUAUAAGUUGAAUCAAUUUGCCGCCGCUCUCGGUUAAGAGAACCUUGAUCACUACGUCACAUCGUAGUAAUAAGUGGAAUGAAAGGAAAUGUGAAAUGAUAUUGAUAUUGUUAUCUAAUCAAUUGUUUUUCCACACUGAAAAGUUUGAAAAUGUUGCUCACUUAGAAUGGUUAGCUCAACCUUAAAUUGAAUGCUAAAAUGCUAAAACUUGAAAGUAAA
rnacentral:lncRNA from 1 species